GCGGGCGUGGCGGAAUUUGGUAGACGCAAGCUCCUGGAAAGAGUCAGGGGUAUUUUGCCCCGUGAGGGUUCGAGUCCCUUCGCCCGCA
rnacentral:tRNA from 1 species